AGGACGAACGCUGGCGGCGUGCUUAACACAUGCAAGUCGAACGGAAAGGCCCGCUUGCGGGUACUCGAGUGGCGAACGGGUGAGUAACACGUGGGCAACCUGCCCUCAGCUUUGGGAUAACUCUCGGAAACGGGUGCUAAUACCGAAUGUUGACAUUUCCUCGCAUGGGGUUUUGUUGAAAGUUUUUCGGCUGGGGAUGGGCCCGCGGCCUAUCAGCUUGUUGGUGGGGUGAUGGCCUACCAAGGCGACGACGGGUAGCCGGCCUGAGAGGGCGACCGGCCACACUGGAACUGAGACACGGUCCAGACUCCUACGGGAGGCAGCAGUGGGGAAUAUUGCGCAAUGGGCGGAAGCCUGACGCAGCGACGCCGCGUGAGGGAUGACGGUCUUCGGAUUGUAAACCUCUUUCAGUAGGGACGAAUUCAGACGGUACCUGCAGAAGAAGCACCGGCAACUACGUGCCAGCAGCCGC
rnacentral:rRNA from 1 species